CUCGUGUUUAAUUGCUGCUUAUGGGAUAAAAUAAAGAGAGAACGCCAACAUCGUCGGAUUAAACGUGAAGUGAAAGACAUUUGGCAUAACGAGAAAAGUCCACGAUCAUGGCUUACGAAUGUGAGGUGUGUGAUGCAAGUUUCCCUCGACUGAGCCAGCUAAUGCAGCACAGGCGCACUGAGAAUCACAGGCCAAAAUAUACUUGUCCAAGUUGCAAGAAAAGUUUCACCAGAAAGAAUAACUUGGAACAACACAUGAAAAAACAUGAAGACGAAAAUAAUCACCA